rnacentral:rRNA from 1 species
AUGCUGGACGAGCUGGCGUCGAUCAACGACAAUGCCACUUGGACACUCACCACACUGCCUGCUGGGCACCGAGCCAUCGGGCUCAAGUGGGUGUUCAAGGUAAAGAAGGACGAGCACGGUGCCAUUGUCAAGCACAGGGCGCGCCUCGUCGCAAAGGGCUACGUGCAGCGUGAGGGAGUGGACUUCGAGGAAGUCUUCACUCCGGUGGCAAGGCUGGAGUCGGUACGGCUCAUCCUUGCCGUGGCCGCUCACCGCGGGUGGGAGGUACACCACAUGGAUGUCAAGUCGGCAUUUCUCAACGGUGACCUUAACGAGGAGGUGUACGUCUCCCAGCCACCCGGGUUCGUUGCAAAGGGCCACGAGCAGGGCGUGUAUCGACUACACAAGGCCCUGUAUGGUCUCCGGCAAGCCCCAAGGGCGUGGAACGCCAAGCUCGAUGCAAGCCUCGCAUCCCUUGGGUUCUCACGCAGCACUUCUGAGCACGGUGUGUACUCGCGUGGCACCGCGAACACGCUGCUCAUCGUCGGCAUCUACGUCGACGACCUGGUCAUCACCGGGGCAGAGCCUGAAGAGGUUCAACGCUUCAAGGGAGAGAUGCAUCGUCUCUUCAGUAUGAGCGACCUCGGGCUGCUCCGGUACUACCUUGGGCUGGAGGUGUACCAGGAGGGUGGUCGCAUCACGAUCACACAGACGGCCUACGCCACCAAGAUGCUCGAGCGAGCAGGCAUGAAGGACUGCUAUGCUGUACAUGCUCCAAUGGAGGCACGGCUGAAGCUCAGCAAGGAGAGCCCCAAGAAGGCGGUGGAUGUCACACUCUACCGUAGCAUCAUCGGGAGUCUCAGGUACCUCGUGCACACCCGACCGGACAUCACGUUUGUUGUCGGGUACCUGAGUAGGUUCAUGGAAGCUCCGGUAAGCGAUCACCUGGCUGCCAUCAAGCACCUGCUCCGGUACAUCACGGGUACGCUCACGCAUGGAUGCGUGUAUCGUCGUGGCGACGGCGAGAGCUUGGUCGGGUACAGCGACUCCGACCACGCUGGUGACGUGGACUCUCGAAAGAGCACCUCAGGCAUACUAUUCCUUCUCGGGAAUAGUCCCGUCAGCUGGCAAUCGGUGAGGCAGAAGGUUGUCGCUGUAUCUUCGUGCGAGGCAGAGUACAUCGCGGCAGCUAUAGCGGCAUGUCAGGGGAUUUGGCUUGCUCGCCUUCUCGGCGAGAUGCUGAAUCAGGACACCGCCCCUGCGCUCAUCUUCGUCGACAACAAGUCGGCGAUUUCCCUCUGUAAGAAUCCAGUGCUUCACGACCGCAGCAAACACAUCGAUCUCCGCUAUCACUUCAUACGUGACUGCGUCGAGAAAGGCUCGGUGAUCGUGGAGUUCAUCAGGACUGGUGAACAGAAGGCGGACAUCCUGACCAAGUCACUCGGUCGUGUCCGGUUUCAGGAGCUGCGCGACAAGGUCGGGAUCAUCAACACCAAGCUCCUUCGACAAGAUUGA